AUUGAACGCUGGCGGCUUGCCUUACACAUGCAAGUCGAACGGCAGCAUGGAGAGCUUGCUCUCUGAUGGCGAGUGGCGAACGGGUGAGUAAAGCAUCGGAACGUACCGUUUAGUGGGGGACAACGUAGCGAAAGUUACGUUAAUACCGCAUACGCACUGAGGUGGAAAGCAGGGGAUCGUAAGACCUUGCGCCAUACGAGACGACGAUGUCAGAUUAGCUAGUUGGUAGGGUAAAGGCCUACCAAGGCGACGCUCUGUAGCGGGUCGGAGAGGAUGAUCCGCCACACUGGGACUGAGACACGGCCCAGACGCCUACGGGAGGCAGCAGUGGGGAAUUUUGGACAAUGGGGGCAACCCUGAUCCAGCCAUGCCGCGUGAGUGAAGAAGGCCUUCGGGUUGUAAAGCUCUUUCGGCCGGGAAGAAAUCGCACAGGCUAAUACCCUGUGUGGAUGACGGUACCGGCAUAAGAAGGACCGGCCAACUACGUGCCAGCCGCCGCGGUAA
rnacentral:rRNA from 1 species